AACCUUUGCUGUCUUGGAACAGAUCACCACUGCAAGAGGGGAAGUUGCUACUGUGAUGAAUUCUGCCAUGUGGUACCAGACUGCUACCCAGACCACAGUGUCCUCUGCAACCCUCGUAACUCACAUACAGGCCUGAUUCCACCUACAGCAAAGCUGGAUGCUAUGGUUGGCAGAGGCAAACCCUUUGCCUGCACUUCAGGCCAAAGCCGGGAUGUGGCCUAGAUGGUUCCUAAGGUCCCUGACAAUCCUGAGAUCUUGCAUCUUGUCUAUUUCAGGUCAAAGCUUCUCAGAUGACCAAGAUGGUGCUGCAGAUGGUGCUGAGGAUGGAGAACCCACCAAGCCCCGCUAGGAGCCACCUAGACUGGAUGUAGAGCAUGGCUAAAACCUUUGAAGAGGAAUUUAUUAUAUCCUACAAACCUGGGAGGCAGAGGUUGCAGUGAGCCAAGAUUGGGCCAUCGCACUCCAGCCUGGGCAAUAAGAAUGAAACUCUGUCUCAAAAAAACAAAAGUUGGCUAGGGCUGGGCGUGGUGGCUCACACCUGUAAUCCCAGCACUUUGGGAGGCUAAAGCAGGUGGAUC
rnacentral:lncRNA from 1 species